UACGGAGGGAGCUAGCGUUGUUCGGAAUUACUGGGCGUAAAGCGCACGUAGGCGGCUUUGUAAGUCAGAGGUGAAAGCCUGGAGCUCAACUCCAGAACUGCCUUUGAGACUGCAUCGCUUGAAUCCGGGAGAGGUGAGUGGAAUUCCGAGUGUAGAGGUGAAAUUCGUAGAUAUUCGCAAGAACACCAGUGGCGAAGGCGGCUCACUGGCCCGGUACUGACGCUGAGGUGGCGAAAGCGUGGGGAGCAAAC
rnacentral:rRNA from 1 species